rnacentral:rRNA from 1 species
UACGUACGAGGCGAGCGUUAUCCGGAUUUACUGGGCGUAAAGCGCGUUCAGGCGGUUCGGCAAGUCGGGCAUGAAAUCUCUCGGCUCAACCGGGAGAGGUUGUCCGAUACUGUUGGACUUGAGGGCAGUAGAGGGUGGUGGAAUUCCGGGUGUAGUGGUGAAAUGCGUAGAUAUCCGGAGGAACACCAGUGGCGAAAGCGGCCACCUGGACUGUACCUGACGCUCAAACGCGAAAGCUAGGGGAGCGAACGGG